rnacentral:rRNA from 1 species
CCUUUGGGGUGCUCUCACGUGCGCUCGGAUCGUAGGCUGGGUCGGAUGCAGACGAGUGGUGCACGGGCGAGUAACACAUCGGAACGUGCCUAGAGGUGGGGAGUAACUACGCGAAAGAGUGUAGAUUACAGCAUGAGAUCUACGGAUGAAAGCAGGGGACCUUCAGGCCUUGAGCUACGUUAGCGGGUGAUGCCCGAUUGGGCGCCUGGCGGGGGAAAGGCUUACCAAGCCUGCGAUCUGUAGCUGGGCUGAGAGGAUGACCAGCCCCACUGGUCCUGACCCUGGUCCAACUCUUCAACGGGAGGCAGCAGUGGGGAAUUUUGGACAAUGGGCGAAAGCCUGAUCCAGCAAUGCCCCGAACAGGAUGAAGGCCCUCGGGUUGUAAACUGCUUUUGUACUGAACGAAAAGCCUGGGGCUAAUAUCCCCGGGUCAUGACGGUACCGUAAGAAUAAGCACCGGCUAACUACGUGCCAGCAGCCGCGGUAAUACGUAGGGUGCAAGCGUUAAUCGGAAUUACUGGGCGUAAAGCGUGCGCAGGCGGUUUUGUAAGACAGUGGUGAAAUCCCCGGGCUCAACCUGGGAACUGCCAUUGUGACUGCAAAGCUAGAGUGCGGCAGAGGGGGGAUGGAAUUCCGCGUGUAGCAGUGAAAUGCGUAGAUAUGCGGAGGAACACCGAUGGCGAAGGCAAUCCCCCUGGGCCUGCACUGACGCUCAUGCACGAAAGCGUGAGGAGCAAACAGGAUUAGAUACCCUGGUAGUCCACGCCCUAAACGAUGUCAACUGGUUGUUGGGUCUUAACUGACUCAGUAACGAAGCUAACGCGUGAAGCUGACCGCCUGCGGAGUACGGCCGCAAGGUUGAAACUCAAAGGAAUUGACGGGGACCCGCGCACGCGCGGAUGAUGUGGUUUAAGUUCGAUUGCAUCGCGAAAAACCUUACCCUCUUUUGAUAUGGCAGAUACCUUACCAAAGAUGGAUAGGUGCUCGAGAGAGAACCUGCCACCCAGAAGCUGCGAUGGCUGUCGUCUGCUCCGCGUCCUGGAGAUGAUGAGGUUAGGUCCACGACAACGAGCCGCAAACCCCUUGCCCUUUACUUUGCUUACGUUUCCAGUUGAUCACCUCCUGAAUGCGCACCUAGCCCGGAUGACAACCGGAAAGACAGGGUGGGGGAAGUGCACGUCCAGAUCCUCCUCAUGGCCUUUGUAGUGAGGGAGCGUGGCGACCUAACACGCGCGUUCAAUACAGAUUGUCCUAGGGAACGAGAGUGAUAUUGCACAGCAGCAUCGA